rnacentral:sRNA from 1 species
ACAACAACAAUAACAAACGCUUAACCCCACAAUAAAAACAAGACGUAUCGACUCCAGCACAAUAAAAACAAGACAGCGGAGGCGCAGCUAACUGAUUCUUUUGGAGAGGAGUUGCCCUUGGGGCCAGCCCCACAGCCAGGCAGAGAACAACAAAAACUGCUUCCAAGCAGCGCCAGAACUGGUUGGGUCACGGAAUGAUCAAGGCACCAUCAGCGUCCAAAGCAAUCCGUUUGCUAUUAACCCUCGAUUGGAGGGCAUGUCCAGAGGCGAAAGCCUGCUGGAGCGGGUCUAACAACAAAAACAUCAAGCCCAACACAAUAAAAACAAAGCACGCACCAAUUUUGGGGGGGAGCUUCGGCUCCCCCAGUAGCUUUACCUCCCUCAGCUUUGCCUCCUUU